AGCCACGAGUCAAGUCAAGUUGCUAUAAAGUAAUAGUAUUAAAAGUAGUAGUAUAGGAUGAGUUUAGUUUUAUGGUGGAACAUGUGUGUGGACCACAUCUUAACAAACGUGUGUGUGGACCACACCUGGUGACAAAAUGGUGGCCUUUUGUGUGGAACACAAAUGGCGGGAAAAUUGAUAGGGAUGUCCCAGCUGAAUGUGCUUUUCUACUGUUCUAAGGCAGAUAUAAAUGCUUGUUUGAGCCAUACAUUGUAGAUUGUCAUUUGCAUUGAGGACAUAUGUCAAACAAAGACUUAGUUGUCUGUUCAUCCAAUAAUCUGUAAAUUAUACCUCCUCUCACAGCAAAAAGGAUCGCCGCAUUGUUCACUGCCUUCUGUGCCAGAAGCCUCAGGACAGCUUGCCCACCCACCUUCUCAGAACCUGCAUGAAAAAUGCUUCUCCUGAAGAAAGACAGGCAGAGGUGAAGAGAGCCAAAGAAAGUAUGAGAACCUGGACUCGCUACCAGCGCAACUGGGACUACAUGGACUUGUGCAGCAUUUUCCCUGACCAGGUCACCAGAUGGAACAUGGUCCGAAACCUGAGGGAAAGGGGCUUCUUUGUGUCUGGUGCGCCCUCUGACCAGGAUAUCGAGGAGGCAGCGGCCAGGCGGGAGAGGGCGGCUGCAACGGCCAUCAGGACAACGCGGGCCACUGUUUCUAGUACCACUCCUACUAUGGAAGCGGUGCCUGCAGUAGGCAAAAGCACUGGGGCUUCAGAAUCAUCUGAAUCCGAUGGUGGUGACGCUGGGGAUUCAACAAGUCCUUUGAUGACAAACAAGGAGAGGGAGUUGUGGCACGAAGCAUUUUGCAAAGGGCUCGAUUAUAUGUGACUGCCACAGAGAACUGAUCUGUGGUGAGGAAGGUGACGCCAUCCUAAAGGCCACACCACAAGAUACCAUGGGAUAUUUGAAUCGUUCGAGGAAGAACCCCAACGCUAAACCUCUCCACUGCAAAAUACAGUUUAGCAGUGGAGUGAAGGACACCUUGUUGCUCGUGGCAGCAAAAUACAUUGCUGUGGGUGAUGAACUCAAAUGUGAUUAUGGGGUGAAUAGGAAGUCCUUUCGUGGGGAAGGACUUGACCUUGAGUGGCUAGAUGAAUAAUUUGAACAAUCAUCUCUUCCUGGUCUGCUGUCAGAUUUAAGGAUUAUAGCAGACACUGCUUGCCUUAAGGUUUUUUGUAGAAAGAAAUAAUUCUAUAUUUUUAAUGUCAAAUUUUUAAAAUGACAAUGUAGAACAUGCUACUCUGUCACAGCUUGGAAGUUUUUAAUGAUUAUUUUUAUAUUUUGUGUCAAACAAGAUUUUUAAAGUUGUUUUACUUUGACACAAUAUGUAACUGAUGGUAAAUACUGUUGUGAACAUGUAUACUCUGUAAAUAAUAAAAAAAAAAUUCUUCUUUUACA
rnacentral:lncRNA from 1 species